rnacentral:rRNA from 1 species
AACGAACGCUGGCGGCGUGCCUAACACAUGCAAGUCGUGCGAGAAAGUUCCUUCGGGAGCGAGUAAAGCGGCGCACGGGUGAGUAACACGUAGGUAACCUGCCCCCCAGUCUGGAACAACUAGAGGAAACUCUAGCUAAUGCCGGAUGAGACCACGAUCCCUUCGGGGUUGCGGCCAAAGAUGGCCUCUACUUGUAAGCUAUCGCUGAGGGAUGGGCCUGCGGGCCAUUAGCUUGUUGGUGAGGUAACGGCUCACCAAGGCUGUGAUGGCUAGCUGGUCUGAGAGGAUGACCAGCCACACUGGGACUGAGACACGGCCCAGACUCCUACGGGAGGCAGCAGUGGGGAAUAUUGGACAAUGGGGGCAACCCUCGAUCCACGCAAUGCCGCGUGAGUGAUGAAGGGCCUUAGGGUUGUAAAGCUCUUUGUCCAGGAGAUGAUGACUGUACCUGGAGAAUAAGCCCCGGCUAACUUCGUGCCAGCAGCCGCGGUAAU